UACGGAGGGGGCUAGCGUUGUUCGGAAUUACUGGGCGUAAAGCGCACGUAGGCGGCUUUGUAAGUUAGAGGUGAAAGCCCGGGGGCUCAACUCCGGAAUUGGCCUUUAAGACUGCAUCGCUAGAAUUGUGGAGAGGUAAGUGGAAUUCCGAGUGUAGAGGUGAAAUUCGUAGAUAUUCGGAAGAACACCAGUGGCGAAGGC
rnacentral:rRNA from 1 species